GAAUCCGUGAGAUGGGCAAGUUUGGGUCCUGGGAGCAUAGAGGUGUAUAUAAAAGGAAAGAGCUGAAACCCUAGAUGAGAAAUCAUCAACUACUUGAUCUUAUCUGAGCAGAGUGUGAGAGCAAGGACUGGUUGGUAUGUGGCGGUCUCAAAUCGAAAAGUUCCCUUCUUGGAUGUCUUUGAAUAUCCGGCUGAAGCUACCCUCUCCCCUGAAUUUUGUAACGAAGAUCAUGGGGGCUGCUGGCUGCUCAACCAUAGAAAGACCAAGAAAGAUAUGCGGGCUUUUCUUUGACUCCAUUUGCCAUAAAGUCUUUAAAUUUCACCCUUUUGCGAUGAAGACUGCCUGCACGCUGAGCCCUUUUCUUUACUUUAAAUCGAACGGGCAGUGAUGGUCUUGCGGGCUUUAAAGUUCCGAAUUUGUUUCUUUGGCUGUUACUUAUUUGCUGAACUGAAUGGUUUUGUUUUUGUUUUCUUCAUAUAUUUACGUGUCUCUAUGAAUGCGUGUGUAUUUGUAUGUAUGUAGAAUGCCUGUUUCAAACAGAGUGGUACUUGUUAGCUGCUGGUAGUUCUUUUUAUUUUUAGCAAUUUAUGGUGAUGGGGUAGCUAUUGGACGAUUUAAUGUUAAAUACAAUCUUAUUCACAAAGAAAUAAUGUUUAAGACAAUCUUGACAUGGUUAAUGUUUCAUUGUUUCUUUAUUAUGAGAGGGCAGGAAUGAAGAUAGACAGAAGGGGUGCGGGGGUCAAGAUGAGAACGCAGACGAUGCUUCCUUCUACAAAGGACUUUGUUGGGAAAGGAUAUAUUGAACAUUGCAACGAAGUCUGCCCAUCAAUCACCGCAACACUUACUACCAUUCCCUUCCUGAGUUUCUACCACAAAAGUACAAAACAGAGCUUCCACAUACUACCGCUCCCUUCCCGAAGUUUAUACCAUAAACAGAGCAUCAACGACGAGCUUGAGGGAGGGAGGAGGGAGAGAGAGACUUGGGGGAGAGAGAGCCUUUCGGGCUUGAGCCUUGAGGACAGAGGGCUUUUUCAGCUCAAACCAGUUCUAUGUCAUAUAUCCUACGUGACUCCCUCAUAUUGGAGGGUGUAAAUUUGAAUUUAUCACUGCAUCCAGUUUGAAGUUUUUCUCUUAACUUUAAUCAUCGAAUUAUGUAAGAUUUUGUUCCACGUCUGUUAUGAAGUGUUGGCAGAGAAUAAGAAAAGGUGAAAAAAAAAGAAGUAA